rnacentral:misc_RNA from 1 species
CUCGGGUUGUCUUAAUUAACAUCACAUAAUAUUUAGGCCAUAAUGCAAAGGUUUCUCACACUUAUGGGUUGCAAAGGUUCUUGAGAUCUUCCUCCUUGGCAAAGGAGGUAGGUAUGAGCCUUGCAGCAUAGGGAUACAAAUCCUUGUAUGAGUUCUUUAUGGUGCCUUCAGCAACUCCAGUGGCAUGAGAUAUAUCGCGCAAUGGUUUCUUUUCGUCUGAUAGCUGAAUUAUCAUAUAGAUCACAGCAGCUGCAAUUGAGAUGGGACUCCUCCUCACAUCAAGCUCUUCAGACUUCUGAACUGCUUCUUGAGCAGCUUUUACAGCUUGAUUUGUCAUACCAAGAUGUGAACAAAAACGUCUCAAGAAAUCUCCAGCAUGGAUAGUACCCAUCUCGAUUGCCU